AACGAACGCUGGCGGCAUGCCUAACACAUGCAAGUCGAACGAGACCUUCGGGUCUUUUGGCGCAUGAGUGCGUAACCGGUGGGAAUCUACCCACAUGUUCGGAAUAACUCUGAGACUUUUGUGCUAUUACCGGAUGAUGACUUAUGUCCAAAGAUUUAUCGCCUGAGGAUGAGCACGCGUAGGAUUAGGUAGUUGGUGAGGUAAAGGCUCACCAAGCCGACGAUCCUUAGCUGGUCUGAGAGGAUGGUCAGCCACACUGGGACUGAGACACGGCCGAGACUCCUACGGGAGGCAGCAGUGGGGAAUAUUGGACAAUGGGCGAAAGCAUGAUCCAGCAAUGCCGCGUGAGUGAUGAAAGCCUUAGGGUUGUAAAGCUCUUGUACCCGUGAUGAUCAUGACAGUACCGGGAGAAUAAGCUCCGGCUAACUCCGUG
rnacentral:rRNA from 1 species